CCAGCGAACUUGGCAGAGAUGCCUUGGUGCCUUCGGGAACGCUGAGACAGGUGCUGCAUGGCUGUCGUCAGCUCGUGUUGUGAAAUGUUGGGUUAAGUCCCGCAACGAGCGCAACCCUUAUCCUUUGUUGCCAGCGAUUCGGUCGGGAACUCAAAGGAGACUGCCGGUGAUAAACCGGAGGAAGGUGGGGAUGACGUCAAGUCAUCAUGGCCCUUACGAGUAGGGCUACACACGUGCUACAAUGGCGCAUACAAAGAGAAGCGACCUCGCGAGAGCAAGCGGACCUCAUAAAGUGCGUCGUAGUCCGGAUCGGAGUCUGCAACUCGACUCCGUGAAGUCGGAAUCGCUAGUAAUCGUGGAUCAGAAUGCCACGGUGAAUACGUUCCCGGGCCUUGUACACACCGCCCGUCACACCAUGGGAGUGGGUUGCAAAAGAAGUAGGUAGCUUAACCUCCUGGAGGGCGCUUACCACUUUGUGAUUCAUGACUGGGGUGAAGUCGUAACAAGGUAAGCGUAGCGAG
rnacentral:rRNA from 1 species